GGAGAUAGCUCAAUUGGUAGAGUGUGUGCCUUGUACGCAAAGGGCCCUGGGUUUAAUCCCCAGCACCA
rnacentral:tRNA from 1 species